rnacentral:rRNA from 1 species
AGCGAACGCUGGCGGCGUGCUUAACACAUGCAAGUCGAACGUGAAAGGGAGCAAUCCCAAGUAAAGUGGCGUACGGGUGAAUAACGCGUAGGUAAUCUACCCCAAAAUCUGAAUAACUUGCCGAAAGGCGGGCUAAUACUGGAUAGAGCGAUGGCAUCCGUAAUUAGGUUUUUCGGGAAAGGGAGGCAGCAAUGCCCCUCGUUUUGGGAUGAGCCCGCGUCUCAUUAGCUAGUUGGCGAGGUAAUAGCUCACCAAGGCUUUGAUGGGUAGCUGGUCUGAGAGGAUGAUCAGCCACACUGGAACUGAAACACGGUCCAGACUCCUACGGGAGGCAGCAGUGGGGAAUCUUGCGCAAUGGACGAAAGUCUGACGCAGCCACGCCGCGUGAGUGAAGAAGGCCUUCGGGUUGUAAAGCUCUGUCGGGCGGGACGAAAAUGCAUUAAGUGAAUAGCUUAGUGUACUGACGGUACCGCCAAAGGAAGCACCGGCUAACUCCGUGCCAGCCGCCGCAGUAA